rnacentral:rRNA from 1 species
AUGCAAGUCGAACGGCAGCGCGGACUUCGGUCUGGCGGCGAGUGGCGAACGGGUGAGUAAUGUAUCGGAACGUGCCCAGUAGCGGGGGAUAACUACUCGAAAGAGUAGCUAAUACCGCAUACGCCCUACGGGGGAAAGGGGGGGAUCGCAAGACCUCUCACUAUUGGAGCGGCCGAUAUCGGAUUAGCUAGUUGGUGAGGUAAAGGCUCACCAAGGCGACGAUCCGUAGCUGGUUUGAGAGGACGACCAGCCACACUGGGACUGAGACACGGCCCAGACUCCUACGGGAGGCAGCAGUGGGGAAUUUUGGACAAUGGGGGAAACCCUGAUCCAGCCAUUCCGCGUGUGCGAUGAAGGCCUUCGGGUUGUAAAGCACUUUUGGCAGGAAAGAAAUCGCAUCAAUUAAUACUUGGUGUGGAUGACGGUACCUGCAGAAUAAGCACCGGCUAACUACGUGCCAGCAGCCGCGGUAAUACGUAGGGUGCAAGCGUUAAUCGGAAUUACUGGGCGUAAAGCGUGCGCAGGCGGUUCGGAAAGAGAGGUGUGAAAUCCCAGGGCUCAACCUUGGAACUGCACUUUUAACUACCGAGCUAGAGUAUGUCAGAGGGGGGUGGAAUUCCGCGUGUAGCAGUGAAAUGCGUAGAUAUGCGGAGGAACACCGAUGGCGAAGGCAGCCCUCUGGGAUAAUACUGACGCUCAUGCACGAAAGCGUGGGGAGCAAACAGGAUUA